rnacentral:pre_miRNA from 1 species
AGCAAGACAGACUUACUUUUGUGACUUUUAUCACCAAAGGGUUUCUGUGUUGUUCUCA